GAUCAUGGCUCAGGAUGAACGCUAGCGGCAGGCUUAACACAUGCAAGUCGAGGGGCAGCGGGUGUAGCAAUACACUGCCGGCGACCGGCGCACGGGUGCGUAACGCGUAUGCAACCUCCAUAACAGGGGCAUAACACUGAGAAAUUGGUACUAAUUCCCAUAACAUUCGAAGAGGCAGUCUCUUGGGUUGAAAACUCCGGUGGUUAUGGAUGGGCAUGCGUUGUAUUAGCUAGG
rnacentral:rRNA from 1 species